rnacentral:rRNA from 1 species
UCAGACUGCACGAGAUAAGUUGGGCGGUCAAAAGGGAAAGAGCCCAGACCACCGGCUAAGGUCCCAAAGUGUGUGUUAAGUGGAAAAGGAUGUGGGAAUUCGAAGACAACUAGGAUGUUGGCUCAGAAGCAGCCAUACAUUCAAAGAGUGCGUAACAGCUCACUAGUCGAGAGUUCCUGCGCCGAAAAUGUCCGGGGCUGAAACACGACACCGAAGCCGUGGACUCGCAAUGCGAGUGGUAGAGGAGCAUUCUUAAAACCGACGAAGCUGUACCGGAAGGAGCAGUGGAGGGAUAAGAAGAGAGAAUGCCGGAAUGAGUAGCGAGAGGAAGGUGGGAAUCCUUCCGGCCGAAUAUCUAAGGUUUCCAGAGUAAAGCUGAUCUGCUCUGGGUAAGUCGGGGCCUAAGGAGAGGUCGCAAGACGUAUCCGAUGGACAACAGGUUUAGAUUCCUGUACCGCAUAUAAACAGAACUGUGGGGACGCAUGUGGAAAGCAUAAGCCGGGAAUGGAAAGACCGGUACAAGCGAGGUAGGUGUGUGACAGGCAAAUCCGUCACAUAAGCCGAAGACGUGAUGUGGAGCGAAAUUAAGUAGUGAAGUAUGUGAGCCAUGUGCCGAGAAAAGCCGCUAUUGUUUUAUAUGUGCCCGUACCGUAAACCGACACAGGUGGAUGAGGAGAGAAUCCUAAGGCCGGCGGAAGAAGCAUUGUCAAGGAACUCGGCAAAAUGGCCCCGUAACUUAGGGAUAAGGGGUGCCUGGGAGACCAGGCCGCAGAGAAUAGGCUCAAGCAACUGUUUAGCAAAAACACAGGUCUAUGCGAAACCGAAAGGUGAAGUAUAUGGGCUGACGCCUGCCCGGUGCUGGAAGGUUAAGAGGAGAGGUUAGCGCAAGCGAAGCUUUGAAUUUAAGCCCCAGUAAACGGCGGCCGUAACUAUAACGGUCCUAAGGUAGCGAAAUUCCUUGUCGGGUAAGUUCCGACCCGCACGAAAGGCGUAAUGAUUUGAGCGCUGUCUCGACAAUGCAUCCGGUGAAAUUGAAGUACCAGUGAAGAUGCUGGUUACCUGCGCCAGGACGGAAAGACCCCAUGGAGCUUUACUCCAGUUUGAUACUGGGAUUCGGUACUGCACGUACAGGAUAGGUGGGAGACUGAGAACUAUGGACGCCAGUCUGUAGGGAGUCGCUGUUGGGAUACCACCCCUGUAGUACUGGGUUUCUAACCAUCUGCCGUGAUCCGGCAGUGGGACAAUGUCAGGCGGGGAGUUUGACUGGGGCGGUCGCCUCCGAAAGGGUAUCGGAGGCGCUCAAAGGUUCCCUCAGAAUGGUUGGAAACCAUUCGAAGAGUGCAAAGGCAGAAGGGAGCUUGACUGCGACACCGACGGGUGGAGCAGGUACGAAAGUAGGACUUAGUGAUCCGGUGGUAUAAAGUGGGAUUGCCAUCGCUCAACGGAUAAAAGCUACCCUGGGGAUAACAGGCUUAUCACUCCCAAGAGUUCACAUCGACGGAGUGGUUUGGCACCUCGAUGUCGGCUCAUCGCAUCCUGGGGCUGUAGUAGGUCCCAAGGGUUGGGCUGUUCGCCCAUUAAAGCGGUACGCGAGCUGGGUUCAGAACGUCGUGAGACAGUUCGGUCCCUAUCCGGCGCGGGCGGAGGAUAUUUGAGAGGAGCUGUCCUUAGUACGAGAGGACCGGGAUGGACGGACCACUGGUGUAUCUGUUGUCGACCAACGGCAUGGCAGAGUAGCCAAGUCUGGAAGGGAUAAACGCUGAAGGCAUCUAAGCGUGAAGCCCCCCUCAAGAUGAGAUAUCCCUCCUUCGGGAGUAAGACCCCUUGA